GCGAGUCAGGGACCCGAAGUCUCUAAACACUCGCCUCUACCCGCCGCCCCGCGAACCCCACACACUGCAGACGCGACACUCGCAAGUUUCGGGGAUGGCGGCCGGCGAGGGCCAUACUGCGUCUUUCCGGAGACACGGAAUACGGCACCAGCCGUCCCUUUAUGAUGCAAUAUGUCUGCGCCCAGGGGACGCUUGCUGGGAGCAGCCAUUUUCAACCCUACUGCCGUAGAGCAGGCGGAGUCCCUCUUUUCGCGCCUUAAGACAGAAACACAAAAUGAUCCUCUGACAAGUGAUGAAGAAGAAUGGGAAGAUGUGAAAAUCCAAGCAAGAAGAACUUAGGGGAAGCAACUCAACAUCUAAGAAGAAAUGAAUAGGGAUCAGUUCCAAGAAGAGAUAAAGGGGAAAUACCCAAGAACUGGGAUGCUUCGUCUUUGGUUUCUUCUGGAUCCUCCCUAAAUUUUGGCUAAGAAAUCUGAGUCUCCAUUUAAGAGUGUUCCCAGAAAUGAUGACAUCCACAUCCAGGAACCUCCUCCUUCCUUCAUUUGAACUCUCUUGCUUCUGGGGAGCCAGGACCUAUGGAGUAAAAAUCAAGUUCAUUUGGUGACACAUUCCCUCCGGGCCCAGAUGCUGUCUCUGCUGCUGUAAACUCUCCUGCAGUCAAGGCCAAGCAAUAUAUCUAAGCAUCCCUUUGUCAGGUGUCCCCAAGUCUUUACAUCCCAGGGCAAUAAAACAACACUCUGA
rnacentral:lncRNA from 10 species